rnacentral:rRNA from 1 species
UGCAAGUCGAACGAGCGAGAGAGAGCUUGCUUUCUUGAGCGAGUGGCGAACGGGUGAGUAACGCGUGAGGAACCUGCCUCAAAGAGGGGGACAACAGUUGGAAACGACUGCUAAUACCGCAUAAGCCCACGACCCGGCAUCGGGUAGAGGGAAAAGGAGCAAUCCGCUUUGAGAUGGCCUCGCGUCCGAUUAGCUAGUUGGUGAGGUAAUGGCCCACCAAGGCGACGAUCGGUAGCCGGACUGAGAGGUUGAACGGCCACAUUGGGACUGAGACACGGCCCAGACUCCUACGGGAGGCAGCAGUGGGGAAUAUUGCACAAUGGGGGAAACCCUGAUGCAGCGACGCCGCGUGGAGGAAGAAGGUCUUCGGAUUGUAAACUCCUGUUGUUGAGGAAGAUAAUGACGGUACUCAACAAGGAAGUGACGGCUAACUACGUGCCAGCAGCCGCGGUAAAACGUAGGUCACAAGCGUUGUCCGGAAUUACUGGGUGUAAAGGGAGCGCAGGCGGGAAGACAAGUUGGAAGUGAAAUCCAUGGGCUCAACCC